rnacentral:rRNA from 1 species
CUUUCCCUCUGGCGGCAUGCCUUACACAUGCAAGUCGAACGGUAACGGGCCUUCGGGUGCCGACGAGUGGCGAACGGGUGAGUAAUACAUCGGAACGUGCCCGAUCGUGGGGGAUAACGAGGCGAAAGCUUUGCUAAUACCGCAUACGAUCUACGGAUGAAAGCAGGGGACCGCAAGGCCUUGCGCGGACGGAGCGGCCGAUGGCAGAUUAGGUAGUUGGUGGGAUAAAAGCUUACCAAGCCGACGAUCUGUAGCUGGUCUGAGAGGAUGAUCAGCCACACUGGGACUGAGACACGGCCCAGACUCCUACGGGAGGCAGCAGUGGGGAAUUUUGGACAAUGGGCGCAAGCCUGAUCCAGCCAUGCCGCGUGCAGGAUGAAGGCCUUCGGGUUGUAAACUGCUUUUGUACGGAACGAAAAGCCUUCUUUUAAUACAGGAGGGUCAUGACGGUACCGUAAGAAUAAGCACCGGCUAACUACGUG